ACUCUCAUUAGUUAUAGCAGAGUGGAAUCUU
rnacentral:piRNA from 1 species